ACCUCGGAUCAGGUAGGGA
rnacentral:rRNA from 1 species